rnacentral:rRNA from 1 species
UACGUAGGGGGCAAGCGUUGUCCGGAUUUAUUGGGCGUAAAGAGCGUGUAGGCGGCUUUACAGGUCCGUUGUGAAAACUCGAGGCUCAACCUCGAGACGCCGGUGGAAACCGUAAGGCUAGAGUCCGGAAGAGGAGAGUGGAAUUCCUGGUGUAGCGGUGAAAGGCGCAGAUAUCAGGAAGAACACCAAUGGCGAAGGCAGCUCUCUGGGACGGUACUGACGCUGAGACGCGAAAGCGUGGGGAGCGAACAGG